CCAAAAUAUAACUUUUUGGUAAAAACUCAACUCGUCGUGUUUGGAGGACAAAGAAUGCUGAGUUGCAUCCAAAGAACACCAUACCUACUGUGAAGCAUGGGGGUGGAAACAUCAUGCUUUGGGGCUGUUUUUCUGCAAAGGGACCAGGACGACUGAUCCGUGUAAAGGAAAGAAUGAAUUGGGCCAUGUAUCAUGACAUUUUGAGUGAAAACCUCCUUCCAUCAGCAAGGGCAUUGAAGAUGAAACGUGGCUGGGUCUUUCAGCAUGACAAUGAUCCCAAACACACCACCCGGGCAACGAAGGAGUGGCUUCGUAAGAAGCAUCUAAAGGUCCUGGAGUGACCUAGCCAGUCUCCAGAUCUCAACCCCAUAGAAAAUGUUUGGAGGGAGUUGAAAGUCCAUGUUGCCCAGCAACAGCUCCAAAACAUCACUGCUCUAGAGGAGAUCUGCAUGGAGGAAUGGGCCAAAAUACCAGCUACAGUGUGUGAAAACCUUGUGAAGACUUACAGAAAAUGUUUGACCUCUGUCAUUGACAACAAAGGGUAUAUAACGAAGUAUUGACCAAAUACUUAUUUUCCACCAUAAUUUGCAAAUAAAUUCAUAAAAAAUCCUACAAAGUGAUUUUCUGGAUUUUUUUCUUCUCAUUUUGUCUGUCAUAGUUGAAGUGUACCUAUGAUGAAAAUUACAGGCCUCUCUCAUCUUUUUAAGUGGAAGAACUUGCACAAUUGGUGGCUGACUAAAUACUUUUUUGCCCCACUGUAUACAUCAGAUUAUGAACAGGAGAACACCGCAGGGUGGUGACAAACUGUAGGAUUAUUGGGGUCAGUGAGUGGCAGAAAUACGAGGAACAUGUUCUCUGUUCAGUUCAUUUCGGGUUCAUUUUUAGCAUUAGUUCUCAGGCCUGGGCUCAGAUCCCCAGAGGUGAUCACUGGUUUAGAGAGUGAUCACCUCCUAAACGGUUUCUAUGCAGCAAAACUCUGCUCAGGGUGUCUGGAUGGAGUAUGAAAUAUACCCUCUCAAGUCACAAUGUUGCCCCUAACAGUGUAGUGUUCAGUGAGGAAAAAUAGGAUCCCUCAGUAGGAAUAAAAAAGGGUUGAAUACUGUACUCAUGAUUUUCUCACCAGCAUAGACCUCGACGGUACAAACACCCCGGUUGGUUGAGCGAUGUCACAACAGCACCCCCUGGGAGUGUAGAGGUAGUACUGCAGCCCCACUGCGACACCCCCAUCACCCUUGUCCUUCUUUGUCUCUGGGUGCCUGGGAGCCCCUUCUCUUCUCUGGUGCUGGACUGGGAUCUGUAAUAUGCAACAUUCCACACUUCUAGUGACCUUCCAGCCAUGUAGAUAUAGUGCCUUCAGAAAGUGUUCACACCCCUUGACUUUUUCCACAUUUUGUUGUGGUACAGCAUGAAUUUCAAAUAUAUUAAAUGUAGACGUUUUUGUCGCUGGCCUACACGCAAUACCCGAUAAUGUCAAAGUGGACUUGUGUUUUCAGAAUUGUUUAUAAAUUCAUAAAAAAUAAAAAGCUGAAAUGUCUUGAGUCAAUAAGUAUUCAACCCCUUUGUUAUGACAAGCCUAAAUAAGUUCAGGAGUAGAAAUGAACUUAACAAGUCACAUAAGUUGCAUGGAUUCAACCACAAAGACCAGGGAGGUUUUCCAAUGCCUCGCAAAGAAGGGCACCUAUUGGUAGAUGGGUAUAAAAGAAAAGCAGACAUUGAGCAUAUCCCUUUGAGCAUGGUGAGGUUAUUAAUUACACUUUAGAUGGUGUAUCAAUACACCCAGUCACUACAAAGACACAGGCCUCCUUCCUAACUCAGUUGCCAGAGAGGAAGGAAACGGCUUAGGGAUUUCACCAUGAGGCCAAUGGUCACUUUAAAACAGUUAGAGUUUAAUGGCUGUGAUAGGAGAAAACAGGAUGAAUCAACAACAUUGUAGUUAUUCUACAAUACUAACCUAAUUGACAGAGUGAAAAGAAGGAAGCCUGUACAGAAUAAAAAUAUUCCAAAACAUGCAACAAGGUACUAAAGUAAUACUACAAAAAAAAUUGGCAAAGCAAUUACCUUUUUGUUCUGAGUACAAAGUGUUAUGUUUGGGGCAAAUCCAAUACAACACAAUACUGAGUACCACUCUCCAUAUUUCCAAGCAUUGUGAUGGCUGCAUUAUGUUAUGUGUAUGCUUGUAAUCGAUAAGGACUGUAAUAAUAAAAUAAUAAGCAGAAUGGAGGACAGGCAAAAUUCUAGAGGGAAAUCUGGUUCAUUCUGCUUUCCACCAGACACUGGGAGGUGAAUUCACUUUUCAGCAGGACAAUAACUUAAAACACAAGGCCAAAUCUACACUGAAGUUGCUUACCAAGAAGACAGUGAAUGUUCCUGAGUGGCCAAAUUACAGUUUUGACUUAAAUCUGCUUGAAAAUCUAUGGCAAGACCUGAAAAUGGUUGUCUAGCAAUGAUCAACAACCAACAACAACCAAAAGGUUAAUUGUUGCACAAUCCAGGUGUGCAAAGCUCUUAGAGACUUACCCAGAAAGACUCACAGCUUUAAUCACUGCUUAAGGUGCUUCUAUAAAGUAUUGACUCAGGGGUGUGAAUACUUAUGUACAUUAGAUUUCUGUAUUUCAUUUUCAAUAAAUUAGCAAACAUUUAUAAAACAUGUUUUUACUGUCAUUAUGGGUUAUUGUGUAGAUAUAAUCCAUUUUAUAUUCAGGCUGUACCACAACAAAAGGUGGAAUAAGUCCAAGGGUAUGAAUACCUUCUGAAGCCACUGUAUCUGUGUAUUAUUACUACUCUCCUCCUGACUCCCCAAACCUCCUCUUUAGGUUGAACAAAUGCCUUAUAAGCCUUGUUAAAUAGCAGCUUUGAAUGAUAGGAUGGUAAACACUUUUGUUGUUUGUUUGCACAGCUGACUCUUCAUGCAGAGUAUGACUUUGAUUUUUAUAGAAAUUAGAUGGAUUUCUGAGUUUGUGAUAUGGAGAGCUUGAUAUUCGAUGAAUAUAAUGUUUUAUGCGAUGGAUAGAUGAACACUGGUUUUCUCCAGACCGAGGUAGCCCGUUAAGACAAGUAAAUAAAUAUUUGUAACUGUAAGUAGACUCGUUGGAGUUUAAUUAAAGGUGGUGUUUGAAUUAUCCACAGAGCAAGACGGACCUGUGUUCCUCUGAGCUCUGUCAUGCAAUAACUAAAGUGCGUCUGAAAUGGCACCUUAUUCCCUGUAUAGUGCACUACUUUUGGCCAGCUUACUGGUCAAAAGUAGUGCACUUAUACAGGGAAUUGGGUGUAAGUGUGGAUGCACACUAACUGUCUUGAUGCCCUGGGCCCAGUUUUUCAAAACAUUUAAUCUGGAUAAGAAUGAUCCGGAUUCUGUAAUCCUUUUUUGCAAUCAAGGAUCAGAUUGAGCUGGCUGUUUUUGGGCUAGUUUUUCAGAAAAUAAUCAGACAGGAUCAUUCUGAUCCACAACAUGAAGAUCACAGAAUCCAGAUUGUCAGUGCUUUCAACAGGCCUACACCUUUCCAUCUAGUGGACAGGUUAUGGUACUACUACACUGUCAUAGGGAAACAGAGAUGAGUAAACUACAUGAAUAAAGGUAAUUAUAUGACACCUUUCUAAAUCCACCCUGAAUACACCCUUCCAGUGGGAUCAAGAUAAUCCAGAUUUUAGGCAUCAAAACUAUCAUCAUCACUACCUUUUUUGAGUAAAAAAAAAAGCAAAAACUACAUUUAAUCCUGUUUUAAUGGUCAGAUUGGAUGACCAAAUCUGGAGGAUCAGAAUAGUUUUGUUUUCUUUUGAAAAAACCAAUUCUAACAUGUCAUUUUAUCCGAUUGCAGAAAUCCAAUCAGAUAACUUUUGAAAAACUGGGCCCAGAGACUCUGCCUUCUACUUUGUAACAACCAUACCUUCUGAGGGUAAAGCAGCUUCAAUCCACAUACUAUUGGAAAUAAUAUAACACAUUGAAAACUGCAGAUUUAAACUGUUGAUAAAAGUAUUUUAUACAUAGUCAUUUAUAUAUAUUGUAUUUAUGUAUAGCCCCCACCCCUCCACCACCCCUGAUGAACAAGGUUAAUAAGUUAGUUUUAAAAAACUACUUUCAUUUUUGUAUGUUGUUGGUUCUUCCAGGCCCCCUGUGUGUUGCACAUCACGACAAUCACGACAAAUGAUAAUUUUGUCUUCAGGGUGGUACCUUAACAAAAAUAUGUAUUUGUCAAUCUUCCUCCUUGGGGAGACAUACAGACUGCGAAUGUAUGGAAUAUUGAUAGCAAUAAUAAAAAGAUUUUCAGUUUGCCUGAGAAUUACAACAACAAAAGGUCCAAAGAAAAUGACAAAGUUGAGUGUUAAAAAGCAACAUAUUCCAGUCCAACAUCAUCAUAAGGAUGUUUACAGAAUGUGAUUCUGAAUGCUGGAUAGAUGUAUGUAUGUAUGUAUGUAUGUAUGCCAUACAUUACGUAGUCAUGCUGUAAUAUAACAUGUUGAUUGGUCUGGGUAGGAACAACUCCUAUUGCCUUAACAUGUUCUCUGUGAUUGGACAAUGAUAUAUGUAUAUUCUUGCAUGUAUAUUUUUUCUCUGAGAGGAUGUUGCUAAUGACAACUGUCAAUCAUGUCCAAUCAGAAAUAUAAAAUAAUUCUGCUAUACACAAAAAACCUGCCUGAUGCCUUUAAAAACUUUUUUUUAAACUUUUUUAAUUAAAAAAUAACCUUGAUGCCUAUAGUUGUAGAUGCAGCAGAGAUGCUUGGUUCUGUUACACAGGUAGUUCAAUUCGGAUAUUUUUCUCACUAAUCAGAUCAGCUCUGAAAAAGUUCUGUGAUUGGUCAAAGAACCAAUUAGUGGAACAAAUAUCAGAAUUGGGCUGCCUGUAUAAACACAGCCUUCUAGAGUAUCAGCACAAUACUUAUUAGUCCUGCAUACCAGAGGGCCAGUCAGUGAAUCUGCCUUGUAAAGGACACAGUGCAAGCGUCUUAGUAGAUUAUAUUAAGUGUGGAUGUGUGCGUUUGUACCCAAUAAACUGUAGAUAAGUGUUUUUUUUUAUAAUGAAUUUCAGUUCUGUACAAUACAAGCACACGGAUGCAUUAGGCUACUAUGCAAACCACGACGAAAGCAUCAUGACAACGUGAUAUUUGGCAUCGAGUACAAUAUAACUGGUUUGUUUGUAAUAAUCUCUAGUGGCUUUUGUUUCAUGUGUAAAACCUUUUCAAAUAGUGAGGAGAGAAUGUCACUAUUUGUUUAUUUAAACUAUAGGAAGGCCUUAACUCAUGUGUUGAAUAUGAAUUACUGGUUUGUUGUCUGUAUGCUCUUCUGGGUUAAUAAUUUACUUGAGAAUAUAUAUUUUGGACAGCAGGAUGUUAGUUACAAGAGGAAGGGCUGGCUCUGGUGCUGCUUGUGAGACUGUUACCUGAUUCACAGUAUAGAGCUGAUCAGAACCGUACUGUGCUGGCUUGGAUGUUUCAUUUUCACAUGGUCCUUUCCAGCACAGUUCCAGCACUAUGUAGAUGCGUAAACAGGGCAGCCCAGUACAGCUCGGCUUGGCGCAGCUUGGCUCUAUAGUGUGAAUGAGGCAUAUGAGUCCAGAAACAAGAGCAGCAUUAAAUUCAGUAACCGUUCGCUCUCUGCCAUCCUCUUCUGUAAAACCAAAGAUAAACAAUAUGUUCCCAUUUUACAUACUGGUAAAAGGCAACACAGACUGACAUUAGAACUCUAUUUUUGAUACUUUGAAAUGGAUGUCAUUCCUAACGGUUGGGUGCAUAUAUCUAUAAAUAUAUGUUUUGUAAAAGGAAAGGGAAAUACAGGUUUGAGCUGAUGUUUACAGGAACCUUGUAUUGUCAUGUACAUUUUGUAUUUUAAAACCAUUUUGUAAUUUAAGACUGCAGUGCUUUUUGAAUGUAUUCAAAGGGAAUACCUUGCAUUUAGGCUCUUACAGUAGUGUAUCAAUAAAAAUAC
ensembl:lncRNA